CAUUUCGAUCUUUGCCUCGCAACGUGAUAACACCUCUCGGGCUCGGUUUGAGCUUGGUGAUUCGCCGUAUAAGAUGCGUAAGGUGAACAGGAUUGAUCGACUUCCAAGGAAACGGCUCUCUGCCGGCAACUGUCGACCGAUCUAACGACGUCUUCGAGAUAGACAUACCUUAGAAUUUAUGACUUUCGGAUUGACGAUGCGUGAUCCAGUUAUGCCAAUGUCGGAUACUCCUACGACUUCUUCAAUGACAAGAACCUUCGUUAAAAUUAUGGACUAAAGGACAGUGAAAUUUGAAAUCACCGGGAAGUAUUUGGUCGGUUCCAUUAAGAGGUCCACGUCUACUCCUGCCAACAAGCCUUUGAAGCAAGGUGCCGGAUACAGG